rnacentral:rRNA from 1 species
UACGUAGGGUGCGAGCGUUUAAUCGGAAUUACUGGGCGUAAAGCGUGCGUAGGCGGUUCUCCAAGUCCGUUGUGAAAUCCCCGGGCUUAACCUGGGAAUGGCAGUGGAAACUAGGGGACUUGAAUCUGGCAGAGGGGGGUGGAAUUCCACGGUGUAGCAGUGAAAUGCGUAGAGAUGUGGAGGAACACCGAUGGCGAAGGACAGGCUCUC